GUUUACUUGGUCUCAUGGACUUUUAUUUGGACUAGUGCUGGCCCUUUAAAGCAGUGUAUGGACAUAUUGAAACUUUUGGGACACUUUUUCUGCCCCUUUGAAUCCAGAGGAAGGUGUGCCUCUUCCCCUUCCCCUUCCCCUGUCCUAUUGUUCUCCAGCAGGGCGUUGUCCCAGGGACACUGCCAAACCAGUUGGAACUGGUUCCUCCUCGGUCAAAAUAUGAUCCACCUAUCUCCUGAACCAGUUCCAGUGCCCCACAAGGUCCAUGUAGGUGGUAACCUUGCUGGGAAAGUUGUAUAUAAG